AUCACUGGUAGUUUUAGUAUUUCUUUUAUUCUUGAUUUUAAUUUUGUAAAUGUAAACUAGUGAAUGGAAGACACCAUGGCAAUUACGUAAGAGCGCAGUCUAAGUUAUCGUGCUUCUAUCGUUAUUCAGACGCGUCAGAAAAACUCAUUCAUCUGAUAGGGGCUCCGGUCAGGCAGAUAGAAACAGAACAGUGCGUAACAAGAGGAACAAUGUACAUUCAUGGGGAAAAAUCUGCCAACAAUCAGCAUGCGAGCAUUUGGUGGGCACCUUCUCGAGUGACCAGAGGACUGAUAACAGAUGGAGUGUUUAGAUGUGCUGAAGCCCUGAUCUGCUGGAGCCUCUGAGAGAAUGGGAGUUCAACCAGUCCGCACAUAUGGAGACAAUAAGGUAUCAGAAGACUGGGUGAUGAGGUUUA
rnacentral:lncRNA from 1 species